GGUUUAAUUCGAUGAUACGCGAGGAACCUUACCCGGGCUUGAAUUGCAGAGGAAGGAUUUGGAGACAAUGACGCCCCUCGGGGCCUCUGUGAAGGUGCUGCAUGGUUGUCGUCAGCUCGUGCCGUGAGGUGUCGGCUUAAGUGCCAUAACGAGCGCAACCCCUCUCCUUAGUUGCCAUCAGGUAAGGCUGGGCACUCUGGGGACACUGCCACCGUAAGGUGUGA
rnacentral:rRNA from 1 species